UGUGGGAGCGGGCUUGCUCGCGAAUGCGGUCUGUCAGCUUGCAUUGAUGGCGACUGACACUCCACUUUCGCGAGCAAGCCCGCUCCCACA
rnacentral:antisense_RNA from 1 species